rnacentral:rRNA from 1 species
UGGCGAACGGGUGAGUAACGCGUGAGGAACCUGCCUCAAAGAGGGGGACAACAGUUGGAAACGACUGCUAAUACCGCAUAAGCCCACGGGUCGGCAUCGACCAGAGGGAAAAGGAGCAAUCCGCUUUGAGAUGGCCUCGCGUCCGAUUAGCUAGUUGGUGAGGUAAUGGCCCACCAAGGCAACGAUCGGUAGCCGGACUGAGGGGUUGAACGGCCACAUUGGGACUGAGACACGGCCCAGACUCCUACGGGAGGCAGCAUG